AAAUUGAAGAGUUUGAUCAUGGCUCAGAUUGAACGCUGGCGGCAGGCCUAACACAUGCAAGUCGAACGGUAACAGAAAGCAGCUUGCUGCUUUGCUGACGAGUGGCGGACGGGUGAGUAAUGUCUGGGAAACUGCCUGAUGGAGGGGGAUAACUACUGGAAACGGUAGCUAAUACCGCAUAACGUCGCAAGACCAAAGAGGGGGACCUUCGGGCCUCUUGCCAUCGGAUGUGCCCAGAUGGGAUUAGCUUGUUGGUGGGGUAACGGCUCACCAAGGCGACGAUCCCUAGCUGGUCUGAGAGGAUGACCAGCCACACUGGAACUGAGACACGGUCCAGACUCCUACGGGAGGCAGCAGUGGGGAAUAUUGCACAAUGGGCGCAAGCCUGAUGCAGCCAUGCCGCGUGUAUGAAGAAGGCCUUCGGGUUGUAAAGUACUUUCAGCGGGGAGGAAGGGAGUAAAGUUAAUACCUUUGCUCAUUGACGUUACCCGCAGAAGAAGCACCGGCUAACUCCGUGCCAGCAGCCGCGGUAAUACGGAGGGUGCAAGCGUUAAUCGGAAUUACUGGGCGUAAAGCGCACGCAGG
rnacentral:rRNA from 1 species